AUUGCUUCUCGGCCUUUAGGCUAAGAUCAAGUGUAGUAUCUGUUCUUAUCAGUUUAAUAUCUGAUACAUCUUCUACCCGAGGACAUUAUAGUAAAUGUGUUUUUGGAACAGGGAGAUGGACUAGGAGCUUGCUCCAUCCACUCCACCCAUCGACCCGGUAUUGCAGUACCUCUGGGAACGGUGCAAAAACA